CUGCUUCUUAGAGCAUACUACCAGAGCAAAGAAACAAAGACAAUUCUCAUCACUUUCACUAAAGACCGGCUUUACUAUUGUUAUUCUUGAUCAGCCUGCUUUGGACACUCCAGAACAACUCCCACAUGCACUUUGCAACUUUUCAUGCCCACCAACUUCAUGAGUAUUCAAAAAAUUUGAAUCCCUAGCUGCUAAUCAUCUCAUCCCUGGUGAAACCAGUUUCCUCAGCAACCACCUAUCAACUUCUUUGUGUAUAUUGCAUUCACAAAGAUUGAUAAAGUCAAUGAGCAAAACAAACAAUUUGCAUCCUAAUAGUACAGCUCCAUACAGAUUGCACAAAGAAGUUUCAGACAGAAAAGAUAUAUGGUUCAACCUUACGAACAAAACAUAAUUACUACUAACCACCAGAUCUUAACAAUAAAUAUAUUUUAACUUUACCGAUCAAUAGAAUACAUAACUAAUAUAGAUUAAAUCUGUUUAAUUUUUUUUCCUGAAAACUAUAGAUUUUAUAUUAAAAUAAUCGUCUGCAUAAGAAAAGUUUUGCGAGGAACAACUAUAGUCAAAUUGACAUGUCGAAUCCAUGUUGUGAUAAUCUUCAUAUUUUUUAUGAUUGUGUAAUGGAUCACCCAAAUAUGUAUCAUUAACUGGAAGAUAUCAAUAAAAGAUCAUUAAUAAUCAAUAUUAAGCACCUAAUGAAGUCGAAUUUAAACUUUACAGUAAACAACCUGCUUCAUGGUUGUCGGAGUUCCUGACAAAAUUCUACUUUGAUUACUAAUACGAUGAUAUGAAAGUAUGAAAAGUUAAAGAAUGAAAAUCAUAACUUUUCUGGAAUCCCAUUACAAUUAUGACGAAAUUAUGAUUAUCCAUAUUCUGGAUGAGAUUACUAUCUCAAGAUUAAAUGUGUACCAUGUUUUGAAGAUAGUGAAAUCUGGUUACAUAUUGCAGGUUUCUUGAUAGCUACAAAUCAAAAGAAGUAUUCAAGUUGGAUUAGAGAAAUCAGCGUACAUAAUAUAAUACAAUCUAAAGCACUGAAAAUGAUAUUGCAACCCGAACUGUAUCACCUGCCAACUUUUCAUUCGGAAUAUGUACCAAAAACAUUAUAUCUGUGAUUUGAUACAUAUCGGGUGUGCUUGUAAUCAGGAACCCGUGGAUCCUUGCACAAUUAAUCAAAUAAGAAUGGAGAAGAAAUUAUAUGAAAAUGGAGAAAAAACUGAAUACAUACCAACAAAGAAGAUGAUUAGGACUUCGAUUCUUUAAAUUUUGAAUUUCAAACUGAAAUCUUUGCAAGAGAACAUUGCAAUCCUUCACAUGAACACAUUAAGAGUACUAACCAAAUCAAUUCCUUUCCAUGUAACCACUAUCAUUCCGAUUUAAGGAAUUCAUGGGAUGCCUAUCAGGUGUCACCUUGCAACCACUAUCAUUCCGAUUUAUCCUAGAUGCUGGUAGCGGGAAACAAUUGACGUUGCUGCUACCAACUGAUCUUUGCUGGAGAAGUCUUGUAAGCGGACUCAAGUAGCUAAAACCUGCUAAAAACAAUUUUUAAUAAACUAAGCUGAAAAAAUUCUGAGAACUUAUUUUUACUAAUAUAUGCCAGUCGUAUAUAGUGAAUAACCUGAAAAGUCUUCCUACAAAAGUAAUUUUUUUAUAUUUUUUUCAGGAAGUGUUUUCCUUCUCUCUCAUUUCUCUUUAUAAUUUUAAAACAAUAGACAUUGAUGUAGUAUACCUAAUGAUUACAAAUUGAAGUCUGUUUGGGGAAGCUAUCACUUUAAGAUUCACCCUAUUGUUAUACCAGGAAUACUCUGAGUUUUCUUGUCAAAUCCAUCCUCUG
rnacentral:lncRNA from 1 species